CUCCUGUGAUGAUUUAGCCAUGCUAAUACUGAUGCAUCAGUCAACUCUGACUGGGUGCAAGUGAGUUCAACUCACCUUCUCACACUGGUGUGAUCAGUGUGUGCUGAGGAGA
ensembl:snoRNA